rnacentral:lncRNA from 1 species
AUAACGAGCAGUCUUCACAAAUCUUGAUACAAAUUGUGAAGCGAAAUUCAAUACUGUGCCAUUGUUGUAUGAUUCCAACUCCGCAAUGUACUGGGCGUCUCUUUCGAUUAGGUCGGCGAACUUGCGAAUAAUUUCACCACGCUGAGAGGCGUCCAAUUGCCGCCAUUCGGAAUUCCGAUGAAAAGCUCGU